rnacentral:rRNA from 1 species
AUAUAAAUAUAUAAAAUAAUUAGAAAUAUAAAUGAUACUAAAAUAAAAUUUAUACAUAUAUUUAUGUAAGUAUAUAAAGAGACUAUUACGAAAUGUUAGCUAUGUAUUAAAGAGAUAUAUAUUUAACUCAAAAGUGUAGAUAAUAAACUCUAAGAUAAAUCAGAUAAUAAACGAAGUGAAUUGAAUUAUCUUAUUAACUUCAGGAAAAGAAAUCAAAAGAGAUUCUAUGAUUAGCGUGAGCAAAAAUAGAAAAGUCUAAAUAAUAAGUAAAAUGGAAUAAAACUGUUUGAAAAUUUUUAUGGGGAACCUUCCUCAAAGACUAAAUAUAAUACAUAAGCGAUAGUGAAUGAGUACCGUGAGGGAAGAUAUAGUUGAAAUAGUAGUCUUAUAAGCAGCUCGAGUGAAAAUAAGAGCGUACCUUUUGCAUAAUGGGUCACCAAGUUAAUUUUAGAUGUGAGCUAAUAAAAUGCGUAGUUAAACCGAUCAUCUAAAAAAUGAAAAAUAUCUAAAAUUAGACCCGAAUUACAGUGAUCUUACCAUGAUCAGGAUUUUAGGUCCGAACGGGUUAUCGUUGCAAAGAUAUCCGAUGAAUUAUGGUAAGUAUAGUGAAAGACAAUUCUGACUGUAUUAGCUGGUUUUCUGCGAAACCUAUAAUAGUAGGCAAUUUAAUUAACAUCUUAGCAGGUACAGAACUUAAUCUUAGACAAAAUGAAAAAAGUAAAAUUUUUUCAUCAUAUUUUGUAUAUAUCGGGGAAUCAUAUAGAUUUUACCGGUGAGUUUGUGAACUCGGAAUGGUAAAGAUGAAUAUUAAAUUAUCAGACAUAGAAUGAUAAGGUUGUAUGUCAAAAGGGAAACAGCCCAGAACAAGAGUUAAGGUUCCAAAAUUAUUAUUAAGUGAAAUUAAGGAAGUUAAGAUAAAAAUCGACAAGGAGAUUGGCUUAGAAGCAGCCAUAAUUUAAAGAUCUCGUAUCAGAGCACUUGUUAAUAUUAAAGCAUCGAAAAUAUAACGGAUCUAAAUAAUAUACCGAAACCUUGUCAAUUAUUAAAAAUAAUUAUUUUUAUUAAUUGGGUAGCAGAACGUUGAGUAAAUAUUAGUAUAAAAAAAAUGAUAUUAUAACUCAAGUGAGAAUGGUGACAUGAGUAACGAUAAAGAAAGUUAAUAUAAAUGAAAAUUUUAUUAACAUUCUCGCCUAAAGCUUAUGGUGAUGAUAAGUAACGGCCUCUAAGUUUUUUACCUUAAGGUUAAAAUGAUGAGAAAAACUUUUUACUAAUAAUAACUAUAUUUUUUUAAGUGAAAAAUAUACAGGAAACAAUAGUAUAAAAUAACCGUUCCUAGGAACUAGAAAAAGUAAGCUAGUAGAAUAUACGAAGGCGCAUGAGAUAACAAUCUUAAAGGAACUCGGCAAAAUGACUACCGUAACUUAGGGAUAAGGAGGGCUCAUUUAAAUUGAUUAAUAUCAAGUAUAAAAGAAGAGACAUAAAAUAGUGUUGUACGACUGUUUAAUUAAAACAAAGCACUUUGCAAAAGAUGAUAAAUCAAUGUAUUAAGUGUGAUAUCUGCCCAAUGCCGUCAGCUUAAUUAUAGAUAUUAAUAAUAGAAAAUUGGUAUCUAUAAAAAUCCCCGGUGAAUGGCGGUCUUAUUUUGAGGAUCCUAAGGUAGCGAAAUGCCUUGGCCGUUAAAUGCGGUCUUGCAUGAAUGAUAUAACGAUACAACAGCUGUCUCUAAGAUUGACUCAGUGAAAUUGGAAUAACUGUGCAGAUACAGUUUACCUCUAGGUAGACGAGAAGACCCUAUGCAGCUUUACUGUUACUAAUUAUGAGGUAUAAUUCUAACAUUUUUUAGUUUAGAAGGUUUAUUGAUUACAAUUUGUAAAUAAUAUAAAAGUGAAAGACCUUUAUUUGUGUGUUAUACUAUCUACUUAAAUGUGAACAGUGAUUAGAAGACAGUUUAUGUGGGGCACAGACCCCUUAAAGAGUAAAAGGGUGUAUCUAAAAAAAAUAACUUUAUAAGUUUAUUUUGUUUUUUAUUGUUUGUAAUUAAUUUAACUUUGUUAUAUUUAAUCUUGUAUUUGUAUUAGUUACAUAUUAUAACAGGUAAGAUUUUAACCUAUUGAGAAAUUAGUUGUAUUAAAAGAUAUUAAUAAAUAAUAUCUUUAAUAGUUAUUAUAAUUUAUAAUUAUUAAUAAUCAUGUUAAAUACUUAUCAAGCUAAAUGGCUAAAUCUUGCCUUACUGUUUGAUUCACAACAAAUCUUACAGUCGCGUAAGCGGGGCAUUAGAUCACAAGAUGCAAUAAGGAAAGAUCUUGGAUUAUUGGAAAAGCUACGCUAGGGAUAACAGGCUAAUUUGCGCAAGAGUGCCCUAAAUGAGUGCGCGGUUUGGCACCUCGAUGUCGGCUUAACUUAUCCUCAUGGACGCAGAAGCUAUGUAGGGUACGACUGUUCGUCGGUUAAAAAGUUACAUGAGCUGGGUUAAAUACGUCGUGAGACAGUAUGGUUUCUAUCUUCUAGAGGAAAUUAGAAUAUAAUAAGGAUUAACCUUGUACGAAAGGAACGUGGAGAACACCUUAUAUCCGAAAGGAAUAGCGGUUUUAUUAACCUCUGGUUUAUCUGUUGUUUAUCUGUCCAGAUAUUAAUUUAGGUAUAAUUUUAAUUAUACAGGAAUGUUGCUUUCACUUAGGUAAAUACAUAAGAUAGGCAUGGCAGAAAAGCUAAGUUAGUCAGAGAUAAAUACUGAAGGCAUAUAAGUAUGAAGCUUACCUUAAGAUAUUUCUUAAUACGUAAAAUAAUAUUACGUGAUAGGCUUAAUUUGUAAUAAUCAAGAGAUUUUAGAUAUUAAGUACUAAUUAAACAUAACUAAAUUUUUUUUUUGUAUCU